AGCGAACGCUGGCGGCAGGCCUAACACAUGCAAGUCGAACGGAUCCUUCGGGAUUAGUGGCGGACGGGUGAGUAACACGUGGGAACGUGCCCUUUGGUUCGGAACAACUCAGGGAAACUUGAGCUAAUACCGGAUGUGCCCUUCGGGGGAAAGAUUUAUCGCCAUUGGAGCGGCCCGCGUCUGAUUAGCUAGUUGGUGAGGUAACGGCCCACCAAGGCGACGAUCAGUAGCUGGUCUGAGAGGAUGAUCAGCCACACUGGGACUGAGACACGGCCCAGACUCCUACGGGAGGCAGCAGUGGGGAAUCUUGCGCAAUGGGCGAAAGCCUGACGCAGCCAUGCCGCGUGAAUGAUGAAGGUCUUAGGAUUGUAAAAUUCUUUCAGCGGGGACGAUAAUGACGGUACCCGCAGAAGAAGCACCGGCUAACUUCGUG
rnacentral:rRNA from 1 species